GCGAACGCUGGCGGCAGGCCUAACACAUGCAAGUCGAGCGGCCGUAGCAAUACGGCAGCGGCAGACGGGUGAGUAACACGUGGGAACGUACCCUUCGGUUCGGAAUAACUCAGGGAAACUUGAGCUAAUACCGGAUACGCCCUUUUGGGGAAAGGUUUACUGCCGAAGGAUCGGCCCGCGUCUGAUUAGCUUGUUGGUGGGGUAACGGCCUACCAAGGCGACGAUCAGUAGCUGGUCUGAGAGGAUGAUCAGCCACACUGGGACUGAGACACGGCCCAGACUCCUACGGGAGGCAGCAGUGGGGAAUAUUGGACAAUGGGCGCAAGCCUGAUCCAGCCAUGCCGCGUGAGUGAUGAAGGCCUUAGGGUUGUAAAGCUCUUUUGUCCGGGACGAUAAUGACGGUACCGGAAGAAUAAGCCCCGGCUAACUUCGU
rnacentral:rRNA from 1 species